GAUGAACGCUGGCGGUGUGCCUAAUACAUGCAAGUCGUACGCACUGGCCCAACUGAUUGAUGGUGUUUGCACCUGAUUGACGAUGGAUCACCAGUGAGUGGCGGACGGGUGAGUAACACGUAGGUAACCUGCCCCGGAGCGGGGGAUAACAUUUGGAAACGGAUGCUAAUACCGCAUAACAACAAAAGCCACAUGGCUUUUGUUUGAAAGAUGGCUUUGGCUAUCACUCUGGGAUGGACCUGCGGUGCAUUAGCUAGUUGGUAAGGUAACGGCUUACCAAGGCGAUGAUGCAUAGCCGAGUUGAGAGACUGAUCGGCCACAAUGGAACUGAGACACGGUCCAUACUCCUACGGGAGGCAGCAGUAGGGAAUCUUCCACAAUGGGCGCAAGCCUGAUGGAGCAACGCCGCGUGAGUGAAGAAGGGUUUCGGCUCGUAAAGCUCUGUUGUUGGAGAAGAACGUGCGUGAGAGUAACUGUUCACGCAGUGACGGUAUCCAACCAGAAAGUCACGGCUAACUACGUGCCAGCAGCCGCGGUAAUACGUAGGUGGCAAGCGUUAUCCGGAUUUAUUGGGCGUAAAGCGAGCGCAGGCGGUUGCUUAGGUCUGAUGUGAAAGCCUUCGGCUUAACCGAAGAAGUGCAUCGGAAACCGGGCGACUUGAGUGCAGAAGAGGACAGUGGAACUCCAUGUGUAGCGGUGGAAUGCGUAGAUAUAUGGAAGAACACCAGUGGCGAAGGCGGCUGUCU
rnacentral:rRNA from 1 species